GACGAGGGAUCCUAGCGUUGUUCGGAAUCAUUGGGCGUAAAGCGGGUGUAGGCGGACUUAUAAGUCAGAUGUGAAAUCCCAGGGCUCAACCCUGGACGUGCAUUUGAUACUGUAAGUCUUGAGUGUGGUAGAGGUUACUGGAAUUCCUGGUGUAGUGGUGAAAUACGUAGAUAUCAGGAGGAAUACCGGAGGCGAAGGCGGGUAACUGGGCCAACACUGACGCUGAGAUCCGAAAGCGUGGGGAUCAAACAGG
rnacentral:rRNA from 1 species